rnacentral:tRNA from 1 species
GGUCGGAUGGUGUAGUUGGUUAUCACGUCAGUCUAACAUCUCAUAUACGAGUGUACACUGAAGGUCGGGAGAUCGAGCCUCCCUCUGAUCA